rnacentral:rRNA from 1 species
UACGUAGGGUGCGAGCGUUAAUCGGAAUUACUGGGCGUAAAGCGUGCGCAGGCGGUUUUGUAAGACAGAUGUGAAAUCCCCGGGCUUACCCUGGGAACUGCGUUUGUGACUGCAAGACUUGAGUGUGGCAGAGGGGGGUGGAAUUCCACGUGUAGCAGUGAAAUGCGUAGAGAUGUGGAGGAACAACGAUGGCGAAGGCAGCCCCCUGGGUCAACACUGACGCUCAUGCACGAAAGCGUGGGUAGCAAACAGG